ensembl:lncRNA
GUCACUGGAUGGAAUAGAUGGCUCCUCCUCCUUUAGAUUUGGCCAUUGUGUUGAUCAGGUCACUGGAUGGAAUAGAUGGCUCCUCCUCCUUUAGAUUUGGCCAUUGUGUUGAUCAGGUCACUGGAUGGAAUAGAUGGCUCCUCCUCCUUUAGAUUUGGCCAUUGUGUUGAUCAGGUCACUGUAUGGAACAGAUGGCUCCUCCUCCUUUAGAUUUGGCCAUUGUGUUGAUCAGGUCACUGUAUGGAACAGAUGGCUCCUCCUCCUUUAGAUUUGGCCAUUGUGUUGAUCAGGAUUGUUUUACAUGUAUUUAACUCUCUUGUUCUGUAGCACUAAACAGUCUCCAUAUAUACUUCCAUUCAUCAUUCCCCAACCGGGACCGUGGCACCUUCAGACCAGUCUGUGGGCGUCCAAGUGCAAAACAAUCAACAUGUCUGUGUCCGGGAGAGUCUCAACUUUCCACAGAGGGGUCGUAUUAGUCUGUAGCCCAAACUGUUUGGACACUUACAGACCAGUGGAGGCUGCUGAGGGGAGGACGGGCUCAUCAUAAUAGCUGGAAUGGAGUCAAUGGAGUGAAAUCAACCAGAUAGAAACCGCGUCUUUGAUGUGUUUGAUACCAUUCCAUUGAAUCCAUUCCAGACAUUAUUAUGAGCCUUCCUCCACUGCUACAGACAGGAGUUGGCAGAUCAGCUGUACCGGCUUCAGGACGAGGAGUUGGCAGAUCAGCUGUACCGACUUCAGACGAGUCUCCAGACGCUUGUGGGGGUCGUAGAGUAAAAUGGAGAACACUGUGUUCGUGACGAGUCUCGUCUUUUU